rnacentral:rRNA from 1 species
UACAGAGGGUGCGAGCGUUGUUCGGAAUUAUUGGGCGUAAAGGGCGCGUAGGCGGUGCGGUAAGUCACCUGUGAAAUCUCCUGGCUCAACUGGGAGUCUGCAGGCGAAACUGCCGUGCUGGAGUAUGGGAGAGGUGCGUGGAAUUCCUGGUGUAGCGGUGGAAUGCGCAGAUAUCAGGAGGAACACCAGUGGCGAAGGCGGCUCACUGGCCCGAUACUGACGCUCGAGGUGCGAAAGCGUGGGAGCAAACAGG